UCAAACUUGGUCAUUUAGAGGAAGUAAAAGUCGUAACAAGGUUUCCGUAGGUGAACCUGCGGAAGGAUCAUUACAAAUCUGGAGGUGGGGUCUGGGUGAGGGGAGUGGGGAGGAGGCUUGGGUACGAAAGUAUCACGACCUGCUCGCCACUCUCCAGGCAGCCGACCCGUGCUCACAUUUGCGCUUGAAGUGUUUGACAGAGUAAUUGUGAUUGUGAAACAGAGACAACUUUUAACAAUGGAUCUCUUGGCUCUUGCAUCGAUGAAGAACGCAGC
rnacentral:misc_RNA from 1 species